rnacentral:rRNA from 1 species
AUUGAACGCUGGCGGCAGGCCUAACACAUGCAAGUCGAGCGAGCGGCGGACGGGUGAGUAAUGUCUGGGAAACUGCCUGAUGGAGGGGGAUAACUACUGGAAACGGUAGCUAAUACCGCAUACCAUCAGAUGUGCUCAGAUGGGACUAGCUAGUUGGUGGGGUAACGGCUCACCUAGGCGACGAUCCCUAGCUGGUCUUAGCGGAGUACCAGCCAACAUGGAACAGAGACACGGUCCAGGCUCCUACGGGGGGCAGCCGGGGGGAAUAGUGCAGAAUGGGCGCAAACCUGGUGGGGCCAUGGCGGGUUGGUGAAGAAGGCUUUCGGGUUGUAAAGCAUUUGCAGCGGGGAGGCGUUUCCCGCAGAAGAAGCACCGGCUAACUCCGGUCCAGCAGCCGCGGUAAUAC